AGGACACACUACAAUACCUGAUUUCUUCAGCUCUCAGGUCCUUCAUCUACUCUGGAAGAAAAAUAUCUAAGAAUAAAGAACUGGGUGUGCUAGAACCCCAACACAAUUUUUUACACUGGUCACCCUGAAGAGAUAGUUUAUGUGUAUCCAGUUCUUCUGUUCCUGCCUGAAGGGCUCAAGCACAGCUGGCUUCCCCCACCCCCAAGGGAUCAAGACGGGGCAGCAUUCCAAUCAACAGACACCGAAAUUGCAACAAUCAAGUCUCAUCCGGAUCGAUCCAUGGGUACUGUCAGAGAUCUUCCUGACCUUUGCUUAUCUAGAGUUUGAAAGCAGCUCUGGACCAGUCUUCUCCCUGUUCAACUCCAAGUGUCAAUAGUGAACGCCUUAUUUUCAGCACCACAAUCUACACAGUUAGGACUCCUGUAGUCAAAAGAGUUGCUGUAUGCAUAGAAGAAUUUUGAUGCUCCACCCCAUGUUAACUACAAAGAAAAAGUGGAGUAAGUGAACCGUCAUAAGAACAGAUUGAAAGCACUAAGAACAAUGGCCAGCACCUGGACUUGGUAUCAAUCAAUCACGAAGCAGGGGACCUUGGAUCGUGCCAGAGGGUCACAGAGACCUGAUGAAGACUCUCCUGACUUCAUCCUUUGAGACCACUGACCCAAUUUGAGACCACCGACCCAAUUCAAGAGAAGAACUGCGCACGUGUGAAGGACUAAUAGCCUCAUUUUAAUAGAGAGCGGGGAUGGGAGAU